rnacentral:rRNA from 1 species
GAUGAACGCUGGCGGCGUGCUUAACACAUGCAAGUCGAACGAGAAAUGGAGACGGAAACCUUCGGGCGGAAGGCUUCAUUUCGAGUGGCGGUCGGGUGAGUAACGCGUGGGUAACCUGCCUCAUACAGGGGGAUAACAGUUGGAAACGACUGUUAAUACCGCAUAAGACCACAGCACCGCAUGGUGCGGGGGUAAAAACUCCGGUGGUAUGAGAUGGACCCGCGUUCGAUUAGCCAGUUGGCGGGGUAACGGCCCACCAAAGCGACGAUCGAUAGCCGAUCUGAGAGGAUGACCGGCCACAUUGGGACUGAGACACGGCCCAAACUCCUACGGGAGGCAGCAGUGGAGAAUAUUGCACAAUGGGGGAAACCCUGAUGCAGCGACGCCGCGUGAGUGAAGAAGUACUUCGGUAUGUAAAGCUCUAUCAGCAGGGAAGAAAAUGACGGUACCUGAGUAAGAAGCCCCGGCUAACUACGUG